rnacentral:rRNA from 1 species
GGCGGACGGGCGAGUAACGCGUAAGGAACUUGCCUCUUGGUCUGGGACAACUGUUGGAAACGACAGCUAAUACCGGAUAUUAUGAGAUUCUCGCAUGGGAAACUUAUGAAAGCUAUAUGCGCCAAGAGAGAGCCUUGCGUUCCAUUAGCUAGUUGGUGGGGUAACGGCCCACCAAGGCGACGAUGGAUAGCCGGCCUGAGAGGGUGAACGGCCACAAGGGGACUGAGACACGGCCCUUACUCCUACGGGAGGCAGCAGUGGGGAAUAUUGGACAAUGGACCAAAAGUCUGAUCCAGCAAUUCUGUGUGCACGAUGAAGGUCUUCGGAUUGUAAAGUGCUUUCAGUUGGGAAGAAGCAAGUGACGGUACCAACAGAAGAAGCGACGGCUAAAUACGUGCCAGCAGCCGCGGUAAUACGUAUGUCGCAAGCGUUAUCCGGAUUUAUUGGGCGUAAAGCGCGUCUAGGCGGAAAAAUAAGUCUGAUGUUAAAAUGCGGGGCUCAACUCCGUAUUGCGUUGGAAACUGUUUUUCUAGAGUACUGGAGAGGUGGGCGGAACUAC